rnacentral:rRNA from 1 species
CCUACGGGUGGCAGCAGUGAGGAAUCUUCGUCAAUGGGCGCGAGCCUGAACCAGCCACGUCGCGUGAAGGAUGAAUGCCCUACGAGUUGUAAACUUCUUUUAUAAAGGAAUAAAGUGAGGCACGUGUGCCUUCAUGUUUGUACUUUAUCGAUCAGGAUCGGCUAACUCCGCGCCAGCAGCCGCGGUAAUACGGAGGAUCCGUGCGUUAUCCGGUUUUAUUGGGUUUAAAGGGAGCGUAGAUGGGUUGUUCAGUCAGUUGUGAAAGUUUGCGGCUCAACCGGACAAGUGCAAUGGAUACUGGCAGUCUUGAGUGCAGAUGAGGUAGGCGGAAUUCGAGGUGUAGCGGUGAAAUGCGUAGAUAUCACGAAGAACACCGAUGGCGAAGGCAGCUUACUAAACUGCCACUGACAUUGAGGCUCGAAAGUGUGGGUAGCAAACAGGAUUAGAUACCCCAGUAGUC